CCUACGGGCGGCAGCAGUGGGGAAUAUUGGACAAUGGGGGGAACCCUGAUCCAGCCAUGCCGCGUGUGUGAAGAAGGCCCUCGGGUUGUAAAGCACUUUCAGUGAGGAAGAACGCCUGGUGGUUAAUACCCAUCAGGAAAGACAUCACUCACAGAAGAAGCACCGGCUAACUCCGUGCCAGCAGCCGCGGUAAUACGGAGGGUGCGAGCGUUAAUCGGAAUUACUGGGCGUAAAGCGCGCGUAGGUGGCUUGAUAAGCCGGUUGUGAAAGCCCCGGGCUCAACCUGGGAACGGCAUCCGGAACUGGCAAGGUAGGGGGGAGGGGAGGAAGGUAGAAUUCCCGGUGUAGCGGUUAAAUGCGUAGAGAUCGGGAGGAAUACCAGGGGCGAAGGCGGCCUUCUGGACUGACACUGACACUGAGGUGCGAAAGCGUGGGUAGCAAACAGGAUUAGAUACCCUGGUAGU
rnacentral:rRNA from 1 species